GUACAUGUUUUAAAUAUAAAUAAAUUAAAUAUAGAUGUUUUCAUUUAGGCUAGAUACACAUGAAUAAAUGAUGUUUGUUUUCACAGGUACUGUUUAUGUACAUAAGUAGUUCUAUAAUUUGACUAAUGUUAACACAGACAGUAUCAUAGAUGACCUCGAGAAGCUGAUCAUAAAAACUUGCACCUUGAUAACUGGUGACAGAUUGGAGUUAAACAUCGACGUACGGAGUUUCCAAAAAAUUUCAAGAAGUAAAAACCCAUUGUACCACAAACAUAUGUUGAUUUUUUCCCCGUCAUAUUGUUUGCUGUAAUGUUAGUUGUUAACAUCGUUGGAUAUGGAUAUAGAAUGUACCUACAGGAUUAUUAUUUGUAUAUAGACAUAUAUAGAAAUCAUAACUAACCUAACCGGAAAGUGGGUAUUUACGGGAGAAAAUAUAGACACCAGUGGUUUACCGAUGUUCAAAUCCCAAAAAUUUAUGAAUUAAGAAGACAAAGAUAACAUACACAAACCUGAGGGAAUCGCAUAGACGUCAAAAUGAGCGAUGAUGCAUAUGCUGAUUACCAUGAUGACGACUAUGAAUGGAUCUACGGACUGUUGCUAUUAUAUUUUGAAGGCAGAGAAAAGUAUAAACUCUUAUUGCGUAACAGAGAUUGGCUAGUAUGUGAAAACAUAUGAGAAAACAUUACGUUUUCUAUGUCGAAAUGUAAAAAGAUGAUUCUUGUAGUUUCUAAUAGUUUUGCGAAAUGUGGAUGGUUCAUUUUGUAACCAUGCAGACACUAUUAUUAUUAAGGUACUAAAAAUGUUUUCGAAUUUGUUCAUUUCGUAAAAUGUAAAAUAAUAAAAAUACCGAACUCCAAGGAAAAUUCAAAAAGGAAAUUCCAUUAUCAAAUGACAAAUUUAAAAGCUCAAACACAUCAAACGAAUGAAAAACAAAUGUCAUCUUCCUGACUUGGUACAAGCAUUUUCUUAUGUAGAAAAUGGUGGAUUAAAUUUGGUUUUAUAGUUAGCUAAACCGCUCACUUGUAUGACAGUCGCAUAAAAUUCCAUUAUAUUAGCUAAAUAUAAUAAUUCUUUAUUGCAAAACAAACAAAAACCAAUGUUGGUUAUAGAAAUACAGACACAAAAAAAAACAUAAGAAAAAACACAGCAAUAAUAAUGUACAUGUUAAAAACAGUUAUUGGUCUCCUUUCCUCAGUUCUAAUGAUUCUUUAAUAAAAGAAACGACUGCUUUUAUAUCAUUGGGUAUGGAUGGAUUUAGUAUAAUCGCAAGUUUAUCAAUUAAGUAAAGUCUAUUAAAAUUGACAUAUUUUUCGAUAUAAUAUUUUGAAAAGGUUCCUCUAUUAUUUUCAUUAAUUUUACAGUUAAAGAAAAAAUGGAAUUUAUCAUCUAAGAUAUUACAUAUUUUACAUUUUCUUUCAUUUCUUGGUACUCUUGUAUAUCUUCGAGUUUCUAUUAAAAGUCAAUGAUCGCUUA